rnacentral:rRNA from 1 species
UACGUAGGUGGCAAGCGUUGUUCGGAAUUACUGGGCGUAAAGCGCGUGUAGGCGGCUCUUCAAGUCAGACGUGAAAGCCCCGGGCUUAACUCGGGAACUGCAUCCGAUACUGCGUGGCUAGAGGUAGGUAGGGGAGAUCGGAAUUCCUGGUGUAGCGGUGAAAUGCGCAGAUAUCAGGAGGAACACCGGUGGCGAAGGCGGAUCUCUGGGCCUGUUCUGACGCUGAGGCGCGAAAGCUAGGGGAGCGAACAGG